rnacentral:rRNA from 1 species
ACACUGACGUCGCGACGCAUAUCAAUAAGCGGAGGAAAAGAGACUAACUAGGAUUCCCUCAGUAACGGCGAGUGAAGCGGGAAGAGCUCAAAUUUGAAAUCUUAAAGGUUCUACCUUGACGAAUUGUAGUUUAAAGAAGUGUUUUCUGUUGAGGUUUUGGUAAAAGUUCUUUGGAAUAGGACAUCAUAGAGGGUGAGAAUCCCGUAUUUGACCAUUACUUUCAACUUUGUGAUACACUUUCAAAGAGUCGGAUUGUUUGGGAAUGCAGUCCAAAAUGGGUGGUAAAUUUCAUCUAAAGCUAAAUAUUGGCGAGAGACCGAUAGCGAACAAGUACCGUGAGGGAAAGACGAAAAGAACUUUGAAAAGAGAGUUAAACAGUACGUGAAAUUGUCAAAAGGGAAGCGUUUGACACCAGUGUUGUUUUUCUGAAAAUCAAUUAAAGAACUGUUUAUGCUAAGUUGUUUAGACUUUAUCAGCUAACUGUUUAGUUUUGAGCUUUUCUUUAAUGCACUUUUCAGUUAACAAGUCAACAUCAAUUUCUUUUGCUGUAAAAAAGCUUGAGGAAGGUGGCUUGAGAUUCGUCUUAAGUGUUUAUAGCCUCUUGCCUAUGCAGUCGGAGAGAUUGAGAUCUGCAGCGUAGAUCCUUCGGGGCUAAAUGCAUUUGUGCUAAGUUAUAGCAUUUUAUAGACAACUUGUUGACUAUGAUUUGUCUUGUAGCUUACUCGCUUAUGUUAUUUUACCUACGCUUAGGAUGUUGAGUAGCGACUACGCAC